ensembl:lincRNA
NNNGGGCGAGCCCUGGUCGCGCGCCUGCAGGGUCAGCUCGAAGGCGCGCAGCUGCUCGUGGUCGAAGGCGCGCUGCGCGAACACCACCCCGCUCUGCGCACUCACGGACACGUAGGAUUCCAGCGCCCGUGGCUCCAGGUCGCUGGCGAUGAUGGAGUAGGAGACGCGACCGUUGGGCCCCAGAUCUGGGUCAAAGGCGCUGACUUGGGCGAUGGAGGCUCCAGGAAGGUUGUUCUCGGCAAUGUGAACCAAAUAGAAAGGCUGUUGGAAAACUGGUGCAUUGUCGUUGACAUCAAUUAUGUUCAAGUGUGCAGUGUGUCGUCCACCAUCCUUUGCUUCCACCCCAAUUGUGUAGCUCUCUCUCUCUUCAAAGUCCAGUUCUCCACCAGUGGUGAGUUCCCCUGUUUUACUAUCCAGCUUGAACAGCUGUCUCACUACAUUGCCAGUGUUGAUGAAAGCAUAUGUGAUCUCAGCAUUGACCCCCUCAUCCAAGUCAGUGGCCAUCACACUUAGUACAGAGGAGCCCGUGGGCAGGUUCUCUUGAACAGUGGCCCUAUACACAUCCUGGGUGAACACUGGUGGGUUGUCAUUUGCAUCUGCCACAACCACAAUUACCUGGGUAGUGCAGCUUCUUGCUGGGUCCCCCCCAUCCACAGCAGUGAGGACCAGGUGGUGGCAGGACUGCUCUUCCCUGUCCAGGGGAGUCUUCACUACCAGUUCUGGGUACCUACUGCCAUCUGGGUUCUCUUUCUGAAUCAAAGAGAAGUGCGGAUUGGGACUGAGGUAGUACUGCUGCAGGGAAUUGACACCUACAUCAAAAUCUUGAGCGGAUUCCAGGGAAAAAGUGGCUCCAGUUAGGGCCAGUUCACUGAUUUCCAGUUCAGUGAUAUUUUGGCUAAAGGUCGGUGGGUUAUCAUUGAUAUCCUGAAUUACCACACUUAUAUGAAAGAAGUUCAAAGGCUUUUCCGUGACCAUUUCGAAUUCUAGAACACAUGUUGACUUCUUGCCACAAAUCUGCUCUCGGUCUAUACGGUCGCUCACAAGUAAGUCCCCGUUCUCAGUACUCACUGUAAAGAAUUUCUUCUGUGCAAUAAUCCGCAGGUUUCGGGUAGGCAGAUCUCGCAUGCCAAGCCCCAGAUCCUUGGCGAGGUUCCCCACCAGUGAGCCCAUGGCCAGCUCCUCGGGAACAGUGUAGCGGACCUGCUCUGGGAGCACCGGACAGAACAAAGACAGCAAAAAGAGAAAUGGCAUUCGUCUCCGCCCAGCUGGGCCCUUCUGUCCCAAGCGGUCUCCCAUCCCAAUUUCUGCGACGUUGCCUUUCUGAUUCCGAAGAGCUACGAUCGCUAAAUGAUCCCAAGAACUCUCUGAGCAGGAGUAACUCCUUGAUUUGUCUUGGCAGGCGGACUCUCUGACAGAUAUCUCGGCGGCAGAGAACCAGAGAGUGAGUGUCCAGUUACCGCGGUUCCGCCUUGGGGAGGCGAUUGCUUUGUGUCGGGAGAAGCUGAUACUACGCUCAGUACUAGCCAACAGCGGCACCCCGCGUCCCGGCUGCAGAACUGCAGUAGUGGUUACUAAAUGAGCUCCAAAUCAGGAGUGGGUUAAAAGAAAAUUCUACUGUAUCCUUAUACAGAUACUCAUUCUUCCAAUUUUACAAGGAUUUUUAACAUCUUAAAUAUUUACUAUAUCUCCGAUCUGGCGGUCAUUUUAUUUGAAUUUGAACUUUACCCAUCUAAAUCAAGUGAGUUUUACUCUUCAAAGAGCAGAGGCAACUUGCUUGAAGAUGUUUACUGACAUCGUCGUGGUUUUUGUUUCCGUUUUCAUAAAAUGGUCAUAAUAACUUCUUCCCUGUGUUCCUUAGUAAAACUGAAGACCAAAUGAAAUGAUAUGCAGAAAAUGACACAAAUGAAAGUACUGGUGGUGGCGAGGGCAGAAAGUGUAAUAUGAAAAUUCUUGAAAUAUCAGCUUGAUAGUAAGAUUAUUCCACUUGUUUCUUUUCUUCUAACUUGCAAACGUUACAAAUCUCAUAGCUUUUAGUUUUAGCCUAUGUUUCACUUCCUUCUAUAUUAUCAUUACCACGUUACCCCCAAACUAGACAGGUAAGCAGAGAUUGGUUGUCCUUACAAAAUACAAGUGUGGUAAGAAGCAAGAAACUCUUUUCCUUAGUUUCCAAGUGUCUAUGUUUAACUCACCAUGAUUUUAAAACUAUCCACCGAUUUUAUUUUUUGCACACUACACUACCAUUGUCUUUAACUGUACUGUUUCUUCUCAAGUCACUUAGCAAUGGUGAGCUAUUUGAAAUUUGGGAAUGAAGUAUGAGUCCUUAUAAUUAUAUAUUCUAAAGAAAGAAUCUAUGUUGUCCCCAGAUCACAAUCAGAUCAUCCUAACUCUUUGUACUGACAUUCUUUCCAUGUCAAUUUUCAUGUUCCUGAUAGGUGUCUUACAGCUUUUUUUUUUUUUUAAGAUUUGAUUUGUCAUAGAGAAACAGACAGAGAGCACACAAACAGGGGGAGCAACAGAGAGAAGGAGAAGCAGAUGCCCCACUGAGCAUGGAACCAGAUACAGGACUGGGAUCAUGAUAAGAGCUGAAGGCAGAUGCUUAACCGACUGAGCCACCCAGGUGUCCUGAGGCCUUACUGUUUUAAUUCAAUUUCUAAACUAGAAUCUUCAUAAAGACAUUUUUUAAACCUAUACAUUGUAAUUCUACAACUUAGCAGUAGGUAGCAAUGUUGAACUCAUAGUGGAAUAGCAUUAGACAUCUUAAACUACUCAUUGUAUUCAGGAUUCUAGGCAGAAACUCACCCACAUAUCUACUUCAUACAAACAUAAAAAAUAUAGACUCAAGACUUUGCUCCAAAACAUGACUGAAGAAGUGUCUUUCCAGCAUGUUAUGAACACUUGAAGGAGAGCUAUCUUUUCAGAGCACAUAUGAAACUAAAGAUUCAAAUAUGUAAACAAUUAUAUAGUAUAUAUAGCAUAUAUGCUCAGAGAGUUAUAGCAAGCAUUUUAUUACCUAAAGUCUAUUGAAGUUUAUAGAGGUUUAAGAGGUAUUUUCCAUUGCAUGAAAAAGUUAACAUAGGACACAUAUCCAAAAUGUAUAAC